rnacentral:rRNA from 1 species
CCUACGGGUGGCAGCAGUGAGGAAUAUUGGUCAAUGGGCGGGAGCCUGAACCAGCCAAGUCGCGUGAGGGAAGACGGUCCUACGGAUUGUAAACCUCUUUUGCCGGGGAGCAACGGGGUCCUUGCGAGGGCCCAAUGAGAGUACCCGGAGAAAAAGCAUCGGCUAACUCCGUGCCAGCAGCCGCGGUAAUACGGAGGAUGCGAGCGUUAUCCGGAUUUAUUGGGUUUAAAGGGUGCGUAGGCGGGCUGUUAAGUCAGCGGUCAAAUUGAGGGGCUCAACCCCUGCCCGCCAUUGAAACUGGCGCUCUUGAGUGGAAGAGAAGUAUGCGGAAUGCGUGGUGUAGCGGUGAAAUGCAUAGAUAUCACGCAGAACCCCGAUUGCGAAGGCAGCAUGCCGGCUUCCGACUGACGCUGAAGCACGAAAGCGUGGGGAUCGAACAGGAUUAGAUACCCCUGUAGUC